AUUGAACGCUGGCGGCAGGCCUAACACAUGCAAGUCGAGCGAGCGGCGGACGGGUGAGUAAUGUGUGGGAAACUGCCUGCUGGUGGGGGGUAACUACUGGAAACGGUAGCUAAUACCGCAUACCAUCAGAUGUGCCCAGAGGGGAUUAGCUAGUAGGUGGGGUAACGGCUCACCUAGGCGACGAUCCCUCGCUGGUCUGAGAGGAUGACCAGCCACACUGGAACUGAGAAACGGUCCAGACUCCUACGGGAGGCAGCAUGGGGGAAUAUUGCACAAUGGGCGCAAGCCUGAUGCAGCCAUGCCGCGUGUGUGAAGAAGGCCUUCGGGUGGUAAAGCACUUUCAGCGGGGAGGCGUUACCCGCAGAAGAAGCACCGGCUAACUCCGUGCCAGCAGCCGCGGUAAUAC
rnacentral:rRNA from 1 species